UGGAAUAUGGUAGUGUAGCGGUGAAAUGCAUUAGAUAUUACAUAGAACCCCCAAUCGCGAAGGCAGGUCACUAACUAUUAACUGACGCUGAUGGACGAAAGCGUGGGGAGCGAACGGGAUUAGAUACCCCGGUAGUCCACGCCGUAAACGAUGGAUACUAGCUGUUGGGUUUUCGGACUCGGUGGCCAAGCGAAAGUGAUAAGUAUCCCACCUGGGGAGUACGUUCGCAAGAAUGAAACUCAAAGGAAUUGACGGGGGCCCGCACAAGCGGUGGAGCAUGUGGUUUAAUUCGAUGAUACGCGAGGAACCUUACCAGGGCUUAAAUGUAGUGGGACAGGCUUAGAUAGGCUUUUCUUCGGACUCAUUACAAGGUGCUGCAUGGUUGUCGUCAGCUCGUGCCGUGAGGUGUCAGGUUAAGUCCCUAUAACGAGCGCAACCCCUGCCGUUAGUUGCCAGCAAGUAAAGUUGGGGACUCUAACGGGACUGCCGGUGCAAACCGUGAGGAAGGUGGGGAUGACGUCAAAUCAUCACGGCCCUUACGUCCUGGGCUACCAC
rnacentral:rRNA from 1 species